rnacentral:rRNA from 1 species
AUUGAACGCUGGCGGCAGGCUUAACACAUGCAAGUCGAACGCCCCGCAAGGGGAGUGGCAGACGGGUGAGUAACGCGUGGGAACGUGCCCUUCGCUUCGGAAUAGCCCCGGGAAACUGGGAGUAAUACCGAAUACGCCGUAUUGGGAAAGAUUUAUCGGCGAAGGAUCGGCCCGCGUUGGAUUAGCUAGUUGGCGGUGUAAUGGACCACCAAGGCUACGAUCCAUAGCUGGUCUGAGAGGAUGAUCAGCCACACUGGGACUGAGACACGGCCCAGACUCGUACGGGAGGCAGCAGUGGGGAAUCUUGGACAAUGGGCGCAAGCCUGCUCCAGCCAUGCCGCGUGAGUGAAGAAGGCCUUAGGGUUGUAAAACUCUUUCGCCGGAGAAGAUAAUGACGGUAUCCGGAGAAGAAGCCCCGGCUAACUUCGUGCCAGCCGCCGCGGUAAAAC